AGGAUGGUUGGAUGGUUGGUUCUUGUGGCAUCCCCCUUCUGUCUUAUGUACACCUCCUUGCUAUAAACCCUGCCUUGUGAACAGAGGUGUAACUAGAAACCAAGGGGGCCCGGUGCAAAAUUACCCUAGCAGAUACAUAGGGCACACACUGACAUAGAAAUAUGCAGACAUACAUAUACGCAUAUAGACACACAUGCACAUGCCGACAAACAGAAACACAUACAGGCACACAUACAGACAAACACACACACAUACAGUGACACACAUAGAUACAGAUAAAGACACACACACAGGCACACACAUGCAUACAGAUGAGCACACAUACAUAGACAC